rnacentral:rRNA from 1 species
UACGAAGGGUGCAAGCGUUACUCGGAAUUACUGGGCGUAAAGGGUGCGUAGGUGGUUCUUUAAGUCUGCUGUGAAAGCCCCGGGCUCAACCUGGGAAUGGCAGUGGAUACUGGAGAGCUAGAGUGCGGUAGAGGGUAGUGGAAUUCCCGGUGUAGCAGUGAAAUGCGUAGAGAUCGGGAGGAACACCAGUGGCGAGGGCGGCUACCUGGACCAGCACUGACACUGAAGCACGAAAGCGUGGGGAGCAAACAGG